rnacentral:rRNA from 1 species
AUGAAUGAAAGUCUUUCCAUCCUAAAUUGGAAUGUCCGUGGUCUCAACUGUCCGAACCGUCGAGCAACCGUCCACGAGACAAUCGCCGCUACUUCUUGCAACCUUGUUUGCCUCCAGGAAACGAAAUUGGAUGCAGCUGAUCCUUUCUUGGUUGCUUUCUUGGGUGGCCAACAACCGAAAAGCUUUGCUGAGCGGCCUGCUGACGGCACCAGGGGAGGCAUUCUACUUCUCUGGAACAAAGAUUUCAUAAAGGUGGAUAAUAUUUCCAUGGGUACCUUCAGCAUCUCUGCAAGCAUCACUAUUAUCAGCACUCUAGUUACCUUCAAACUCACUUCAGUUUAUGGUCCUACUAGAAGCAACCUUAAAGAUGCUUUUUCCCAAGAGAUUAUUAGCCUUAAACCGCAAUAGGAUAUGAGUUGGCUGGUUACGGGCGAUUUUAAUCAAGUCUACCGCGCUAGAGAUAAAAACCGCGCAAACGUCAAUCGCUCCCAUCUUGUGCACUUUGGAAAUGCCCUCAACUCUUGUGAGUUGAAAGAGAUCCACCUCCAGAACAGAAAAUUCACUUGGAGCAACGAGCAGACGAACCCGACCAUGAGCAAAUUAGACUCUUUUUUCUGCAAUGACGACUAGGAUGUUACUUUCGGCUGUCACAUCCUUCACGCUCUCUCGUCCUUGCUCUCAUAUCACUGCCCGCUGCUUUUGGCCAGCGACAAGGGACCAAGACGUCCCAAAACUUUCUGGUUUGAAAAUUUCUGGACUAAGUUACCUAACUUCAAUAGGAACGUCCAUGAUGCUUGGAAUGAGGGAACAAGCCACUUCGAGCCAUUCCAGGUGCUCUUUCACAAGCUGAAAAGAACAAGCCAGUGCCUUAGGAAGUGGAGCAAGUCCAUGUUCUCGAAUCACAAAGUCCAGCUCCACAUGGCCCUUGAGAUCAUUCUCUGCCUCGAUGUGGCGCAAGAGUGCAGAACACUUAGCAUGGCUGAAUGGAAUCUUAGAAAGGACCUCAAAAAGAAGGUUGUGGCCUUGGCGGUUCUGGAGCGGGCAAGGAAAAGGCAAAGCUCAAGAAUUAAGUUGCUCAAAGAUGGAGAUGCGAAUACCCGUUUCUUUCUCUCCAUAUCAACCAUCGCCGAAGGAAAAUUUUCAUUCACCGCCUUAAGCAAAUAA